GGGACAGGGAAUGGUCUCGUGGUGACUGUAGCUUGAGAAUAAGGGUCGGCUAAUUACGUGCCAGCAGCCGCGGUAACACGUAAGACCCUAGCGUUAUUCGGAAUUAUUGGGCGUAAAGGGCACGCAGGCGGUCUGGUAAGUUUGGAGUGAAAUUACGGAGCUUAACUCCGUAGCUGCUUUGGAUACUGCUGGACUUGAAUCAGUGAGGGGUGACCGGAAUACCUAGUGUAGGGGUGAAAUCUGUAGAUAUUAUGUAGAACACCGGUGGCGAAGGCAGGUCACCAGCACAUGAUUGACGCUCAGGUGCGAAGGUGCGGGGAUCAAACAGGAUUAGAUACCCUGGUAGUCCGCACAGUAAACGAUGCACACUUGGUGUUCGCUCUUAAGAGUGGGUGCCGUAGUUAACGCUUUAAGUGUGCCGCCUGGGAAGUAUGCCCGCAAGGGUGAAACUCAAAGGAAUUGACGG
rnacentral:rRNA from 1 species